ACGAACGCUGGCGGCAGGCCUCAAACAUGCAAGUCUAGGGGGUGUAGCAAUACAUCACCGGCGGACGGGUGCGUAACGCGUGGGAAUGUACCUAUUGGUUCGGAACAACUGCGGGAAACUGCAGCUAAUACCGAAUGUGCCCGAAAGGGGAAAGAUUUAUCGCCAAUGGAUCAGCCCGCGUAGGAUUAGCUAGUUGGUGAGGUAAUGGCUCACCAAGGCUCCGAUCCUUAGCUGUUCUGAGAGGAAGAUCAGCCACACUGGGACUGAGACACGGCCCAGACUCCUACGGGAGGCAGCAGUUGGGAAUCUUGGACAAUGGGGGAAACCCUGAUCCAGCCAUGCCGCGUGAGUGAUGAAGGCCUUCGGGUUGUAAAACUCUUUCGACGGGGACGAUAAUGACGGUACCCGUAGAAGAAGCUCCGGCUAACUUCGU
rnacentral:rRNA from 1 species